rnacentral:rRNA from 1 species
UUUUUGUCAUUUCAAUCAAGUAAAAGUAACAUUUUUGUUGCAUUAUCCCCCCCUAACCUUUUUUUUUUUGAAAUACACAAGUGAACUUAAGAAUGUAAAAUUUUGAUUGAUUAUUUUGAAAUAACUUUUAACAAUGGAUCUCUUGGCUCUCAUAUCGAUGAAGAACACAGUGAAAUGUGAUAAGUAAUGUGAAUUGCAGAAUUCAGUGAAUCAUUAAAUCUUUGAACGCACCUUGCACCUUUUGGUAUUCCAAAAGGUACACCUGUUUGAGUGUCAUGAAAAUUCCUCAUCAAAUUAAUUUUUGAUGGAUCUUGAGUGCUGCUGUUAUUUAGCUCACUUUAAAUAUAUAAGUCUAAAAAAUUUCCAGAUGUUGGAUUGACUUGGUGUAAUACAAUAAAUUUAUUUAUUUUUCAUCAAGGAAAGUAGCAAUACUUGCCAACAAAUGUUUAUUUUGACUCCUAAACAUAAAAGAAGAGUAAAAAUUUUUCUUUUAUUUUUUUAAGGCCUCAAAUCAGGUGGGACUACCUGCUGAACUUAAGCAUAUCAAUAAGCAGAGGAAAAGAAACUAACAAGGAUUCCCCUAGUAAUGGCGAAUGAAACGGGAAAA